CCUUCAUUCAAAGCCAGAGAUCUCUCCCCAGUUACUUGGACAUCCCUUAGUUCUUUCCAUGUGUGGAACUGAAUGUUUAUCUCCUACAGUAAUUCUAUGUACACAAGGAUAUCUGAUAUUCAACCUCCAAUCGGGUGGUGAACCACAGGUUGAGGACCACAGCUCUGAAUGCAAGCAGAAAUCUCUUCAAAUCCUGGCAGUGGUUCUGGAGCAGUGACAUUCUUACUUUUUAUUAUCAGACUGAAUCAAACUAGUCAUCUGGGAAGAGGGACCCUCAAUGAGGAAUUAUAUAGAUCAGAUUUACUUUG